GUGUUAUUUUGAAAUCAAUUGUUGUUUUUGAAAACGCGCCCUAAAGCUAUCCAAUUUCAACAGUUAAAAUAAGUAUUACCUAUCUUAGUAAUACAUAUUAAAACCAUCAAAAAUAAUUAAGCGGCCUUAUUACAUUUAAAAACCUAAAACUUCAAAUGUAAAUAAAAGGAUGUCCAGUUCAGCAUAAGAAAAUCAAACUUUCAGAACGGGUGGCCACUCCGAAUUCCCUCACAGCUCCAAUCCCACUAUGGUUGGGGAUUUCCUGCGUGGAUGAAAAUAAAAGGGGUGAGUUUGGGGAAACUCAGUGUGUAAGGAAAACCCAUUCAAAGCCCAAGUCAGCUCAAGCCCAUUGGGCCUAAGCCCAUUUAGGUAAUAGUGGUACUGGGCUAGAGCCCUUUUCAGAUUACAAUAAACUGGGCCUUAGCCCCUUAUUCAGAUAACAGUAUGGCCCAUAGGCCCAUUUCAAAAUACAUGCAACACCAGUAAACAUAUGCAAGCCCAUUUGGGUAACAGUGGUACUGGGCCAGAGCCCUUUUCAGAUUACAAUAAACUGGGCCUUAGCCCCUUAUUCAGAUAACAGUAUGGCCCAUAGGCCCAUUUCAAAAUACAUGCAACAUCAAUAACAUAUGCAAGCCCAUUUGGGGAGACUACUCAACCCACCAACCACUACACUUCACCCGUACCAGCCACACACUCCAUGUGGGGAAUAGCUCAACCCACCCAGCCCAACACUCCACAGUUGCAGCCUUGCUGCUCAGUUAACAGUAAAUUGAGGCAAAGCCUCCAGUACGUGGACAAGCCACUUUCAGUACUUCCUCCGUCAAUAUCCCAGUCCCAUGCAUCAGAUAAUAACAACAUGGCAUGUAGUAAAUAACAACAGUCAAACAUGUAUUUUGGUAAUUUAUCUACUAGGGGUAAAAUUGUAAAUUUUCCACUUUUAAAGGUAUUUCAGUAAUUUAUCUAUUUUAGGGUUUUUCAUGCAUAUUCCUACUUUUCACGUACUAACAGAAUCACGUACCGAGUGUUCUUACCGAAUUGGGCCCGUUGGCCCAUAUUCCAAUUUUGGCCCAUUAAGCCCAAAAAUAUCGAGGGUACAGAAAUCAUGCACUUUGCAGUCCAAAUUUUGCAGUUUACCAAAAACAUUAAUCGAUUUACCUCACGAGCGUUCGCACACUCGCAAAUCUACAAAAUACCGGUUUUCGGCAUUUCGGCUUUUCGACUUUUGCCGAUCCAAACUAAGAAAGAGGGUGUUACUUACACACCUGUUUGCGACGAUAUGCUGACGAGAUCCACACACAAACUGCCUACAAUUUGAUUACUAACACGUUAAUCUAACUAUUCAAAUACGAACUACGUAUUAACCCCUUACAAUAUUCGGCCAACCACACCUACAGAUCAUAGUAAGCUUAUAAGAAAUCAAUAAGCAACUCAUUAACAAAUUUUUGUCAAUGUUUACCACAUAAUCAUAAUUUCACUGCAAGCUGUCUUCCUGAGCAGCAGUCACUAAAUUAUUUAUAACUGGAGCUACGAAACUCCAAAUCAAGUGCCGUUAAUUUUCCAUGAAAAUAGACUCAUAUAUCUUCUAUCCAUAAAAUUUUCAGAAUUUUUGGUAUGGCCAAUCAAUACCAUAUUUUUCUCAAAGUUUCGCAUGUUUCACUGUUUGACUAAUCUGACCACUCUUCUUUACGAAUCAAAUUUAUCAUUGUACAAAAUUCAAAAUAUGUUCUCGUUUAUUUCAUUUGAAACUAGACUCAACAAGAUUUAAUUACAUAAUUUAUUCAGCUUCUAAUUCAUCUCCCACAAUUUAUGGUGAUUUUCCAAAGUCACGUUACUGCUGCUGUCCCAAGCAGAUUUAUUACCAAAUUCACUCUUUCACACAUAACUUGCAUGCUUGUUAUUUAAACAUGUAUAUCACCAAUCAAUCAUCACAUAUCUAUGAUUUUACUUAAGUAUAAUCUCCAUUUCAUCAUUUUAAAGCACAACAUGUUAGCUGAUUUUUCCCUUUAACAUCUAAGGCACAUGCAUGCUCAUUUGUUUGGCUCAACUUCACCUAUCUUCCAUUUUUUCAUCAAAAGAACACGAAACAACAACCAUUUCCUUCAUUUUAAUUCAUGACUAAAUGCUCACAACACAACUAAAAACCAAAAUAUGCUUCAAGAGUUAAGGUAGAAUCAAGAAGAACUCAUGAACCUCAAAAUAGAAGCAAGGUACCAAGAACUUACCUUCAAUUUUCCUCCUCCUAAUGACCGAAUACUCAAGAGCUUUCUCCUCUCCUUUCUCUUCUCUAACUUUC
rnacentral:lncRNA from 1 species